UGGGGAAUAUUGGGCAAUGGGGGAAACCCUGACCCAGCAACGCCGCGUGAGGGAAGAAGGUUUUCGGAUUGUAAACCUCUGUCCUUGGUGAAGAAAAGAAUGACGGUAGCCAAGGAGGAAGCCCCGGCUAACUACGUGCCAGCAGCCGCGGUAAUACGUAGGGGGCGAGCGUUGUCCGAAAUGACUGGGCGUAAAGGGCGUGUAGGCGGCCGAUUAAGUCCGGAGUGAAAGUCCUGCUUUCAAGGUGGGAAUUGCUUUGGAAACUGGUAGGCUUGAGUGCGGAAGAGGUAAGUGGAAUUCCCAGUGUAGCGGUGAAAUGCGUAGAGAUUGGGAGGAACACCAGUGGCGAAGGCGACUUACUGGGCCGUAACUGACGCUGAGGCGCGAAAGCGUGGGGAGCGAACAG
rnacentral:rRNA from 1 species